rnacentral:rRNA from 1 species
UACGAAGGGGGCUAGCGUUGUUCGGAAUUACUGGGCGUAAAGGGUUUGUAGGCGGUUAUACAAGUCAGUGGUGAAAGCCUGGGGCUCAACCUCAGAAUUGCCAUUGAAACUGUAUAGCUAGAGAAUGUUAGAGGAAAGUGGAAUUCCUAGUGUAGGAGUGAAAUCCGUAGAGAUUAGGAGGAAUAUCGAUGGCGAAGGCAGCUUUCUGGGACAUUUCUGGCGCUGAGAAACGAAAGCGUGGGUAGCAGACAGG